UACGAAGGGAGCGAGCGUUGUUCGGAAUCACUUGGCUUAAAGCGUGCGUAGGCGGAUAUGUAAGUCAGAAGUGAAAUCCCGGGGCUUAACCCCGGAACUGCUUUUGAGACUGCAUGUCUUGAAUUCGGUAGAGGUUAGUGGAAUAUCCAGUGUAGAGGUGAAAGUCGCAGAUAUUGGAUGGAACACCAGUGGCGAAGGCGUCUAACAGGACCGAUAUUGACGCUGAGGCACGAAAGCGUGGGUAGCAAACAGG
rnacentral:rRNA from 1 species